CAAUAGCGUAUAUUAAAGUUGUUGCGGUUAAAAAGCUCGUAGUUGGAUUUCUGCUGAGAACGACCGGUCCGCCCUUUGGGUGUGUAUCUGGCUCUUUCUUGGCAUCUUCUUGGUGAACGUUGCUGCACUUGACUGUGUGGAGCGCUACCCAGGACUUUUACUUUGAGGAAAUUAGAGUGUUUCAAGCAGGCAUACGCCUUGAAUACAUUAGCAUGGAAUAAUAAGAUAGGACCUCGGUUCUAUUUUGUUGGUUUCUAGAGCUGAGGUAAUGAUUAAUAGGGAUAGUUGGGGGCAUUCGUAUUUAACUGUCAGAGGUGAAAUUCUUGGAUUUGUUAAAGACGGCCUACUGCGAAAGCAUUUGCCAAGGAUGUUUUCAUUGA
rnacentral:rRNA from 1 species